UACGAGGGGGGGCGAGCGUUUGUUCGGAAUUAUUGGGCGUAAAGGGUGCGUAGGCGGUUUGGUAAGUCUGAUGUGAAAUCUAUGGGCUCAACUCAUAGUCUGCAUCGGAAACUGCCGGGCUUGAGUAUGGGAGAGGUGAGUGGAAUUCCUGGUGUAGCGGUGAAAUGCGUAGAUAUCAGGAGGAACACCUGUGGCGAAAGCGGCUCACUGGACCAUAACUGACGCUGAUGCACGAAAAGCUAGGGGGAGCAAACAGG
rnacentral:rRNA from 1 species